rnacentral:rRNA from 1 species
UACGUAGGGGGUUAGCGUUGUCCGGAAUCAUUGGGCGUAAAGAGCGCGUAGGCGGCUGGAAUAGUCCGGUGUGAAAUCCACAGGCUUAACCUGUGAAUGCCGCUGGAAACUGUCUGGCUAGAGUCCGGAAGGGGCGAGUGGAAUUCCUGGUGUAGCGGUGAAAUGCGCAGAUAUCAGGAGGAACACCAAUGGCGAAGGCAGCUCGCUGGGACGGUACUGACGCUGAGGACGAAAGCGUGGGGAGCGAACAGG